UAGAAAAACAGAGAACACCCUUACCAGGCAUAAGGGAUGAACUUAAAAAGUAUUACAUAGUUAAUAAUUCAAGAGUAACGUAUAACUAAAGAUAAUAAAAAAAAAAAAAAUGUUUAAAUUAUCGUUAUUGUGUAAGUAAUUGAGUGGGUUACGAUAAAAAAAAUCACCCUAUAUAUUUGGAUGUCAAUAAUUUGUAUGGUUGGAGUAUGUCUCAACAUAUGCCGUAUGGUAACUUUAAGUAGUUAGACGUGGACAACGAAUCAAAAAUUUUAAAGACAGUAGAAGAGUUACCUGCGGAUUCUCCUGUAGGAAUGGUUCUUGAAGUGACGGUGUAAUACCCGAAAGGGUUACAUGAUGCCCACAACGAAAUACCGUUUUUACCUGAACGAAAAUGUCCGCCUAAUUCACGGGUCAAAAAACUGUUGUUUACUUUCGAUCAGAAAGAAAACUACGUUGUACAUUAUCUAAAUUUAAAACGGCCUAUGGCGAACGGAUUAAAAGUAGAAAAAGUGCAUAAGUUGUUACAAUAUAAGCAGUUUACAUGGCUAUCAAAAUAUAUACAACUCAACACGGAGAUGAGACAGAGUGUCAAAAAUAAUUUCGAAAAAGACUUUUUUAUAUUAAUGAACAACGCUGUUUUUAGCAAAAUGAACAAUUUAGAACGCAAAUGGAAUUGGUCAAUAAUCCUAAACGAGCGGUUAAAUUAAUUAAAAAACAUAAUUUCAAACAUUGUACAACUUAUAGAAAAAAUUUAUCGGCGUUUGUAUUGGAAAAGAAAAUUAUCAUGGGGCAUAUUAUGUUCAGGAAAUAGGAAGAUAUAAAACUGAUCAUUAUAUAUUCUAAUUAUU